AUAAAAAAGUUCAAUACAAAAACACCGAGUAAAACAAAUCAUGUGUUAUUUAUAAAAACAAAAUAUGUACAUUGAAAUAUGUUUCGCGUCAUUGACUCCCACCAAUUUACAGAAGGCCAAAAAAACGCUCAUAAGUUGUCUUUUAUUCCGUAUUAGUUCUAUACAAAUAUUGUUUUCUUUUUAUGCACCAAUGGAUAGUGACUCAUCGUCGUAUUGUGAGACGACGUACAGCGAAGAUCAAAGAAUUGAAAAAGCUUUACUCGAAGAAAAAAGAAUUCGUGCCCUCCGAGCUGCCGAAGAAGAUCAGGCUAGAAGAAAACUGUUUGAGAAUUACGCAAAAGAAGAUUUACCAAUAUUUAAAUUGCCGGGCAUAAAAUUUCACACAUUUCGCCACUUAAAAAUUAAAUUUUCGUUUGAACCUUCAAAAAUUACAGCUUUUGUGAACAAAAAUGUAAAAUUUUUUAUUUCACUAAAAUAUAAUGGCAAAUACUGGAGGGUAAAACGGAGUUCGUUUCCACUUACUUGCAAUCGGAAAAUAUAUCCCGUAUUUAACGAUCAAUAUUUCAUUGUCGACGAUGAAAAUAUUUUGACAGCUAUCACUAAAAUGUAUCAGUUUCUUGUGGAAUGGAAGGACAACGAAGAAGAGUUUCGUCUUGAAAAAUAUGAGAGAUACAAAAAGGGCGAGGAAGACGUAGAGCUAGACUCUGAUGAUGAACAGUUAUUUUUGAGCCAGAAUGAAAGAGUGGCACUUUAUCAAAAAAGAAUAAAGGUACUUAAGCGCAUGUUGCCACCUAAAACUUAAAAAUAGCCACAAAACGCUUGGAUGCAUCAUGAUUUACAGCUUUCGCAAAUUAGUAUUAUGUACAUACCCAACACUUUUUACAAUUAUUUAAUUUAAUAAUGAAUAUUGUUAUACUUAUUAGACUUUUGUAAUAAACAAAAACAAACGCUAGCAUUA